rfam:Picea glauca, whole genome shotgun sequence.
UUUUGAGGAUGAUGAAAAUCCAUGAAACAGUUAUCCCUGUCUGAAUAAUAAUGUUGACAGGUUAUCUUUGACUCAAUC